GCCGGCCCGGCCGCGGCUCCUCCUGCUCGGCUCUACCCCCGUGGAAGUGCCUCGUGGUGGAAGGAACCAAGCUGUUUUCAUCCUAGCCUGGGAUGAGCUGUAAGGCAAAAACAUUUUGAGGAAAUCAGACCUGCAGUUGUUGUUCUGCUCCCUUCUGCUGAUCUCCCUGGCCGUGGGGUAAAGGGCUGUUCCUGUGCAAGGCCUGCUGUACAGAAUGCCAUGUUCCAGGGCUGGAAUAAAGGGAAAAAAAUGCAGCUUUGUCCAUGCCAGGGUCCUGGAUCUCUCAAGCAUUAAGUGUGCUCACAGGAGCAGAUGUUGCUUGGAGCCGGCCUUGAAAUGAGAGCACGGAGAGCUCUGAUGAAUGAGCUGCCAGUUUUACAGACACAGCAGCAUAAUUUCCUCAAAGGACUUAAAAUGGAUUUAUAACAAGACCUGAGC